AGUUGGUGGGUACAGUAGAAGCGUUGGA
rnacentral:piRNA from 1 species